CUUGCUUCCCCUUCACCCUUCUGCCAUGAUUGCAAGUUUCCUGAGGCAUCCCCAGCCAUGCCUCCUGUACAGCCUGUGGAACUUCAGGACCUGGGAGAGAAAAAAGCUACCAGCAACAUUCAGACUGAGAGAGGCCAAAAUACUAAUUCAUAAUUAGCCUGGUACAUAUGAAGGAUCAAAAAGAACAGGACUGUAUGUCUAACCUCUGACAGGCCCUACCACCAUAGUAGAGACUCAGUAUGUAUACUUAAUGAAGGAAUAAUGAAUACAUCAGCAAGAGAAAUAAGAGUGACCAUAUGUUCCUUAAGAGAAGCAAAGAGCAGCUCCUGUUCCUGCCAGCUGGAAUGAGUCUCCAUUCCUUGCAACAGAAGUGUCCUAAGUUAUAGCCAGAGGACGGGGGCACAUUGACAAAACAUAAUAACAAGGUACCAUUCCAGCAAGAACAUCUGAAGAAAGAAGCAGUGUUGUUUAUCUUUCCUUCAUCUAUUCUGAAACUAAAAUCCUUAACCAAAUUUAUUUCCGAAGUUUAACCCUUUAAUAAACUGGCCUCUGACUCCACCUGGUGGAGAUACAUAAAUCUAUGAAAAUAAACCAAUCCAAAUGAAGAUUUUAAA
rnacentral:lncRNA from 1 species